AAUUUUUGACAAUGGGGGAAACCCUGAUCCAGCCAUCGCGCGUGUAUGAUGAAGGCCUUCGGGUUUUAAAAUACUUUUGGCAGAGAAGAAAAGGUAUCUCCUAAUACGAGAUACUGCUGACGGUAUCUGCAGAAGAAGCACCGGCUAACUACGCGCCAGCAGCCGCGGUAAUACGUAGGGUGCAAGCGUCAAUCGGAAUUACUGGGAGUAAAGCGUGUGUAGGCGGUUCGGAAAGAAAGAUGUGAAAACCCAGGGCUCAACCUUGGAACUGCAUUUUUAACUGCCGAGCUAGAGUAUGUCAGAGGGGGGUAGAAUUCCACGUGUAGCAGUGAAAUGCGUAGAUAUGCGGAGGAAUACCGAUGGCGAAGGCAGCCCCCUGGGAUAAUACUGACGCUCAGACACGAAAGCGUGGGGAGCAAACAG
rnacentral:rRNA from 1 species